GACGAACGCUGGCGGCGUGCUUAACACAUGCAAGUCGAACGGAAAGGCCUUUUCGGAGGUACUCGAGUGGCGCACGGGUGAGUAACACGUGGGUGAUCUGCCCUGCACUCUGGGAUAAGCCUGGGAAACUGGGUCUAAUACCGGAUAGGACCGCACUUUAGUGUGUGUGGUGGAAAGUUUUUUCGGUGUAGGAUGAGCCCGCGGCCUAUCAGCUUGUUGGUGGGGUAAUGGCCUACCAAGGCGGCGACGGGUAGCCGGACUGAGAGGUUGGUCGGCCACAUUGGGACUGAGAUACGGCCCAGACUCCGACGGGAGGCAGCAGUGGGGAAUAUUGCACAAUGGGCGCAAGCCUGAUGCAGCGACGCCGCGGGGGGGAUGACGGCCUUCGGGUUGGAAACUCCUUUCGCCAGGGACGAAGCGUUUUGUGACGGUACCUGGAGAAGAAGCACCGGCUAACUACGUG
rnacentral:rRNA from 1 species